UACGGGUGGUGCAAGUGUUAGUCCUCGUGACUUGGCGUAAAGGAUGUGUAGACGGAAAAAAAAAUUUUGAAGUUGAAUUGAAAGACAAUUUUUUUUAUUUUUUUUCUAGAGUAAUAAGGGCAAUUUUGGUAUUUCUUGCAUUAGGAUUGAAGAAUGAUUGACACAAGAAAGAACAUCAGAGGCGAAGGCAUAAAUUGAUUUAUUACUGACGUUGAGACAUGAAGGCAUGGGGAGCAAAUAGG
rnacentral:rRNA from 1 species